UAAAUAGCCUGCAGCUGGACAAGAGCAGGCUGGGGCUGGCUCAGGUCUGCAGUGGCUGGUGGCCCCAACCUGCUCUUGUCCAGUUGCAGGCAGCUGC
rnacentral:pre_miRNA from 1 species